GUUUGAGUAAAAGCUUUUCGCUCUUCCCCCAGCUUUUUGGCAUUCCCAAUCCUAGUCCUUGCUAGUCCACUUGAACGUCACGACUCCGAAGGACAAUGGACAGCACGUGCUGGCAUUUGUUUAGACUUUAGCGUGCGUUAAAAUAUUAUUAAAAACUGACUGCGACUACGAUUAAUGGAGGCGACGGCCUUGCAAUUGCUCUCAUAGGACAAAGGCCCAAGGUUCGAUUGUAGCGCCCUUUUCGAGUCGUCUAGACCGCACCAUUGGCUUUUUGUGAAUAAGCUGGCGGAGCUUUCGUUAUCCAUUGGAAACAGUGCGAAGAAAUUAAGUUUGAAAUUGCAGUUCAG